CCAGCAGCCGCGGUAAUUCCAGCUCCAAUAGCGUAUAUUUAAGUUGUUGCAGUUAAAAAGCUCGUAGUUGGAUUUCGGGUGGGCUACGCCGGUCUCCUAACGGUUGUACUGGCGACGCCCGCCUUGCUGCCGGGGACGGGCUCCUGCCUUAAUUGUCGGGACCCGGAAUCGGCGACGUUACUUUGAGUAAAUUAGAGUGUUCAAAGCAAGCCUACGCUCUGAAUAUAAUAGCAUGGGAUAACACGACAGGACUCUGGCCUAUCGUGUUGGUCUGUAGGACCAGAGUAAUGAUUAAGAGGGACAGUCGGGGGCAUCCGUAUUCCGUUGUCAGAGGUGAAAUUCUUGGAUUUACGGAAGACGAAC
rnacentral:rRNA from 1 species